GACGAACCGUGCGAACGUUGUUCGGAAUCACUGGGCUUAAAGGGCGCGUAGGCGGGCGAUCAAGUCAGGGGUGAAAUCCUCCGGCUCAACCGGGAGAACUGCCUUUGAUACUGGUCAUCUCGAGUGAGGUAGGGGCAUGCGGAACUGAUGGUGGAGCGGUGAAAUGCGUAGAUAUCGGAAGGAACACCGGUGGCGAAAGCGGCGCGCUGGACCUCUUCUGACGCUGAGGCGCGAAAGCCAGGGGAGCAAACGGG
rnacentral:rRNA from 1 species